rnacentral:rRNA from 1 species
UACAGAGGGUGCAAGCGUUGUUCGGAAUUAUUGGGCGUAAAGCGCGUGUAGGCGGCUUUGCAAGUCGGGUGUGAAAGCCCUCAGCUCAACUGAGGAAGUGCGCCCGAAACUGCAGAGCUUGAGUACCGGAGAGGGUGGCGGAAUUCCCAGUGUAGUGGUGAAAUGCGUAGAGAUCAGGAAGAACACCCGUGGCGAAGGCGGCCCACUGGGCCGGUACUGACGCUGAGGCGCGAAGGCGUGGGGAGCGAACGGG